GACGAACGCUGGCGGCGUGCUUAACACAUGCAAGUCGAACGGCAAGGCCCUGCUUUUGUGGGGUGCUCGAGUGGCGAACGGGUGAGUAACACGUGAGUAACCUGCCCUUGACUUUGGGAUAACUUCAGGAAACUGGGGCUAAUACCGGAUAGGAGCUCCUGCUGCAUGGUGGGGGUUGGAAAGUUUCGGCGGUGGGGGAUGGACUCGCGGCUUAUCAGCUUGUUGGUGGGGUAGUGGCUUACCAAGGCUUUGACGGGUAGCCGGCCUGAGAGGGUGACCGGCCACAUUGGGACUGAGAGACGGCCCAGACUCCUACGGGAGGCAGCAGGGGGGAAUAUUGCACAAUGGGCGGAAGCCUGAUGCAGCAACGCCGCGGGCGGGAUGACGGCCUUCGGGUUGUAAACCGCUUUCGCCUGUGACGAAGCGUGAGUGACGGUAAUGGGUAAAGAAGCACCGGCUAACUACGUG
rnacentral:rRNA from 1 species